rnacentral:lncRNA from 1 species
CCAUGCCGAAAUCUGAAAGGCCAACAGAAAUAUCUCAUUACAGCACAGAAGACAAAACUUAGGACAAAACUUAAAACUAAUCAAACUUAGGUGAACCAAUUAUAGAGAACAUAACCCUUGUAACCAAUCGGGAAAAGAUGCUUUUAAAUCCCAGAAAAAAAAAUUAAGAGGAGUUUUUUAAAAAACCAUCAUUUCAAUUAUUUUCCAGUCUUACAUUUGGAUUAAACAGAAAAUAUAAGUAAAAAUGCCAACUUUCUAAAAAAACUACAACUAUUUUUACAAAUUUCCAUUACCCAAUGCUGAAAAAUGAGAAUCACGAAGCAAUGAAGAACGGAACACGCGAGAACCAAAAAGUUAAAAACAACACGUAACCAUUUCAAAGACCCAAAAUCCUGCAAGGACAAAAAAAUCCCAUAAAAUCAGUACAUCAGCACUCCCUGCAAAACCCCAAAAUCAGAAAAUUAUAAAAAGAACCCAAAAUCAGUGGCAUGGUCCUCGUUUCUCCAUCAUUCAGUAGCUAAUGACCUAAUGGAAAAGAACCCAAAACAUACAGCUUAAAAUAUGGAAAGUGCUUAUAAAAGCUCAUGAAUAACGUUCAAAGCCUGCAUAGAAAUGGUAUAGCGCAGAUAACAACAAACAAUAAAACUAUGCACAGUAUAACCUAAAUCCGAUAUGUUGCAUUCCCCACACACAGAUUGUUCAAAAUUAAUUUCGUCUCCGUCUUUUUUCAAAUCUGAUAAAAUCCCCAAAACACAAAAAAUAGCAGCUAACUAUUUUUUGAACUCUGUAAACAACGAUAUGCAUCUUAACCCAUUUAACAUAUUCAUAAAAUAACAUCAAACACAUUUAUGCAUGAGAUAAUAUAGAAGUGAAGUCUCACAACUUUCAUAAAAAAUUAUUACUUUGUUAGAGAAAGGCUUGAAAAAAUAUGUAAAUUACUCACCUCUAUUACAAAAAUGUUACAACAGUAGACAAAAAAGGCCAAAAAUACCAAAAGCCGCACCUCCUGAAAUAAAAAACAUAACCAAACGACACAUUCUCAGUAUCUAAACGAUAUCCAGAAAAAAAGAAAUGAACAGACGAAACCCAUGUAAAUAUACAGAACAAACCAAAAAAAAAAAAAAGAACUGAAGCCAGUAAGAAGAUCACAAAUCUGAUAAAGCAAAAGGUAACAUAAUCUAUAUCGAUUUAAUUAUCCAUCCAAAAAGACAUUUGAAUGAAGAACAUUUUUAAGGAUCCAAACAACCAUUAAACUAAACAAUUAAAAGUAAAAACAGCAAAGCAUUCAUUGAAGAAAUAUAUAUAUAUAUAUAUAUUAUAACGUAUUUUGUUCUUUAUACCUAAAAGAAAAACAUUGGCUUUCUUGUAUGCACUGAAGUAUGCAUGUGUCGGAAAUUUACAAUCUAUAGAGACUCAAUCUCAGACUCAAAAAGACAUCUAAAGGAAAAGUAAUAAGAAAAAUAAGUAGUGGUUUUACCUAUACUCCAUGUGUGGACUCCAAUUUUCAAUCACAAUUCAAAAUUCAAGAGGCCUAUAAAUCAACCACAUAGGAAAUGAUCAGUGGAAGAAAAAGAAAAACAACUGAAGCCAAAAUAGCAUCUAACAAAUCAUUUAGAACCAUCACAGAAAACAAUUUUUGCAUAUAAGUAAUUUAAAGGAAUACCAUCAGGUCAUGCAUAUAUACAACGUACCCAAUUAGAUAAGUAGCACAUCAACAAUUGAUGAUCAAAAAGUUAGUCAGCCUCAAUUGCUUGAAUCUAAUUAACUCAAAGAUAAUAAACAGUCCAUUUAAUGCACGGGCUGACUAUCAAUUUUAUAAAGCUAUAAUUCUGUGCAGUUCAAAAACCAAGUGGAAGAAUAGGCAAAAACUAUCUCAUCGCCUGUAAAUGUAAUUAACUAAAUAUUAAACUUCACAGCCACAAAUAAACCUAAAUUCCUCCUAAAACUAUCUCAUUUAAGCUUGAUUUUACUAUAAUCUAUAAGUGUGGUAAAAAAUGGGAGGCCAAACGAUUUGUUAACAAAAAAGGUAGACAUAAAAGUAAAAGGAACAGGGCAGACAUUAGUUGAGGAGAAGCUAAUGUCACCUUGAAUUGACGACAAACAGUUCUUAUCUUCUCGAAUUAACGAAGAUAAGUACCAUUUUUCUUUAAUUCAAGGUAAUAUAAAAAGAAAUUAUACCUGUACAGUGUUCAGAUGUAGCAAUCCUAUGCAAUCGGCCAAAUGAUGUGUGUCCUCUCAAAGAUCUGUAUAUCCAUUACAGACUAAUCUUCAGUCUUGCAGAAAAUGAUAUGUUGACUACAAUUUCCCAUACUACUAAAAAACACAAAUAAUUCUAUCUACAAACCAAAUAAUAUGUGCAACUUUAUGCUACAAUGGUAGAAUAAGAUGGUUGUACAGGACGACACAAAGAUUGAGACUUUUUUUUACUUCUAAAAUUCUACACACUUUCGAGCCCUAAAUUUUCCCGGAAACAAAAAAAAGUGAAAGAAGUCGUACCUGGUUUGAGAGAGUGGGACACCAUCGGCGAGUUUGGUGUAGCAGUGAUGGCGGAGAUCUCUGGUGAGAAAGCUAAUAAGAUGGACAAAAUCAUUGAACAAAAAAAACCUCGCUUUUUAAAAUUAAAGUCAACAAAAAUUUGAACAAAGAAAAGAGAACUCAAACCCGAAACAAAUAAGUCGGAGAACUCGCCAGGAAACCCAAAGUUUCUGCAGGAUUGGCGAUUUCCUGAAAACCAAGCUUUUGUAGGUUUAAAAUUUCUUCCCUAAGGCAACAGAUCCAACAUUCCCAACUUUAGCUAUUUCAGCUACAUAAUAGAAAGAAAAAAAAAUUUAUAUAAUUAACUAAUCUGAUUUAAGAUUAAUCGAAAAGCUUGGAAAUUUCAGCUUUAAAAUUACAUGUCAGGCUGCAAAUCUAAUAAAAAGCGUAGAAUUUUAAAAAUGCUGACCUUAAAUACAGAGGCCUUCGCAGGCUGCAAAGAAGCGUUAGAAACCCGAAAAACCGGAUCUCCUGAAACCAAAAACAAAACCAAAUUAACCAUCAUCACCCAUAAUUCGAAGCCACAAACAUAAUCCCCAAAAUUACAACCCAAAAAUUUAAACAAAAAAACCCAUUUAUAAAUCCAAAUUUACACUCCCAAGUGCAAGACUCUAAGCUCCAACUGUUCUUUCUCAACUUUAGCUAUUUCAGCAACAUAACAUAAAUAAAAAGGUCGUACCCAGUGCACAAGGCUCCCGCUUUACGCAGGGUCUGGGAGAGGUGAAUGUCGGCUAGCCUUACCCCCAUUUUAUGGAGAGGCUGCUCCCAAGUCUCGAACCCGAGACCUACCGCUCAUGGGCGAAGACACUUGCCAUCGCACCAAGUGCGACCUCUAGCAACAUAACAUAAAUAAAAAGAUCGUACCCAGUGCACAAGGCUCCCGCUUUACGCAGGGUCUGGGAGAGGUGAACGUCGGCUAGCCUUACCCCCAUUUUAUGAAGAGGCUGGAACAUAACAUAAAUAAAUAAACAAAAUUAAUUUAACUAUAAUUAACUAAUAUGAUUUAAGAUUAAUCAAAAAACUUGGAAAUCUGCUUGAAUCCAAUCUCAAAAUUGAAAACGAACACUUCACUUUUACAAAAGUUGUACAAAGCAAAAAAAAAAAAACAGACAAAUCAAAGUCUCACAAAGGGCCACAACGACAGCAAAAUUGCAACAGAAAGAGGAAAAAUGUUCAAUCAAACCAUUGGAUAACUCUUCUAAGGCAGCCAAAAAAAAACCCACAAAUUCAAAACCACAAAAAUCCAAUCUAAAACAUCGAUUCACAGACUGAGAUGCACAAAAUGAUAUAUUAACAAAUCCAAAACGAAAUACAAAAAUUAAGAACCAACAAGCAAAAAAAUACUGAUUAUCCCCUGCAUACGUGAGCACACGUUCAAAAAGCCUCUCAAAGGCUGAGAUUCAACUUUCAAACAUAAAGACUUUAAGCCACAAUUGUUCUUUCUUAACUUUAGCUACUUCAGUUACAUAAUCGGAAAAAAAAAAUUAUUUAAUUAUAGUUAACUAAUCUGGGUUAAGAUUAAUAAAAAAGCUUGGAAAUUUCAGAUCUAAAAUCACACCUCAGGCUGCAAGUAGAAUCAAAACCAUGGAAUUUCAAAAUCACUGACCUUAAACACACAGGUCUUCGCAGGCUUCAAAGAAAAGUCACAAACUCGAAAAACCCAAUCUCCUGAAAUCGAAAACAAAACCAAAUUAACCAUCAUCACCUAGAAUCCGAAGCUACAAAACAAAAUUCCCAAAAUCAAAACCAAAAAAUUUGAACAAAAAACUCAUUUAAUAUCCAAAUUUACACUCCCAAGCACAUAACAUUCAAAGCAGACAAUUACCCAAAUCAAAUCGACAGCAGGAGAUGCAAUCUUUUAUGGGCUUCAAAUUUUCUUCAAACCGAGACCAAAUUCGCUAGUUUUCAGCAAGAGAGCGUUGCCGUUUGUAACCCCCGAUGAAAAGAUCCAAACAAAUUUGACUAACAGUAGACAGAGAGAGAGAGAGAUAGAGAGAGAGAGGUGAAAAUUACUCGCUGGUGACGAAGCUAAUGAAUUCGGAGACGCAUUCCUGGACGGUGUUCGACUGAUCGGCACGAGUAGAGACACCAGAUCAGAAAGACAGAAAAAUUAGGGUUUGGGAGAUAAAGAAACUGGGGCAGAGAGAGAGGGAAAGAGAAGCAGAAAAGAGGAUAAUUUUAUGCAUUUUUUUUAGCCGCUUUGAAUUUUUUUUGGCCGACAGGCAUUUGCGUCCGAUUAUUUUUGUCGAAGCCGGUGACACCAAAACCGGCCUCCGGCUUUCGGACCAGGAUUGUCUGCCCCUUCAUUUUCCCUGCCAUGU